GAGGUCCCGCCUGCCCUGUGACCAAAAGUUUAACGGCCGCGGUAUUUUAACCGUGCAAAGGUAGCGCAAUCAAUUGUCUUUUAAAUGGAGACCUGUAUGAAUGGCAUUACGAGGGUUUAACUGUCUCUUUGUUCUGGUCAAUGAAGCUGAUCUGCCCGUGCAGAAGCGGGCAUAACCCCACAAGACGAGAAGACCCUAUGGAGCUUUAGAUGCCCACCAACCACUCAAAGCAGCCCAGUCAAUUGGGCACUCAAACAACGUGGUCCUGGCACAAACAUCUUCGGUUGGGGCGACCACGGGGGAGAAGAAAGCCCCCGAGAGGACUGGGGGAAACCCUAGAACCAAGAGCCACAGCUCUAGGCAACAAAACAUUUGACCGACAAUGAUCCGGCUCACUGCCGAUCAACGGACCAAGUUACCCUAGGGAUAACAGCGCAAUCCUCUCCCAGAGUCCAUAUCGACGAGAGGGUUUACGACCUCGAUGUUGGAUCAGGACAUCCUAAUGGUGCA
rnacentral:rRNA from 1 species